rnacentral:rRNA from 1 species
CUGCGCCACAAGUGGCAAUCAUUUUUAUUGGGCCUAAAGCGUCCGUAGCUGGUUUAGUAAAUCUCUUGUGAAAGUGUUUAGCUUAACUAAACAAAUGGCAGGAGACACUGCUAAACUCGGGACCGGUAGGAGUCAGAAGUAUGGGAGGGGUAACGGUAAAAUGUAAUAAUCCCUCCUAGACUACCUGUGGCGAAGGCGUCUGACUAGGACGGAUCCGACAGUGAGGGACGAAAGCCAGGGGAGCGAACCGGAUUAGAUACCCGAGUAGUCC